CUACAGUAAUUUGAGAAGAGUGCUGAUCCAAGAACAGGAAACUCAGAGAAAAAUUUUGGACUCUGGGCCUCGCUGUACAGCUAACACAGCAACACAGUACCUGCUUCCAAGUGCUGUUCCUGUGAACACACCUGAAGCAGAUUCUCCUGUUACUUUAUGGAAAGGCUGACCAAAAUUUGCACCGCCUUUGAGAAUGGUUGUUCUGGAACAUCCUCUUUGGGAGAUCUCCGGCAGACAGUUAGCAGUGAGAUGGAGCAGUGGCAGAAGGGACUUGUGAGUGGCUUGUGGCUUACUCCCUGUGGCUUAAUUGAAAAAAUUCAAGAUCAAAUACACCUGCCAAAGCCUCAAGAUUCAAAUCGACCUAUGGGAUGGAAGGAGCAGACAAGCAUGGCCAUUGGAAUGUGUUACAGGAAAAAUGCGUAAGAUAAAUGAAACACAACAGUCAAAUCAUCCAACUCUCUUGUGAGUCAUGAUAGAUAAUCAGCAGGAACGUGGUGGAUGGUGAUAGCCAGUGAGCCCUGCAGCUUCAAAAGACAAGGACAAAAUAUUAAGUUAAUAACAGCUAUUUACAAAA